UACGUAGGGUGCGAGCGUUAAUCGGAAUUACUGGGCGUAAAGCGUGCGUAGGUGGUUCGUUAAGUCUGAUGUGAAAGCCCCGGGCUCAACCUGGGAAUUGCAUUUGAGACUGAAUAGCUAGGGUACGGUAGAGGGAAGUGGAAUUUCCGGUGUAGCGGUGAAAUGCGUAGAUAUCGGAAGGAACACCAGUGGCGAAGGCGAGUCUCUGGGAUGAUGCUGACGCUGAGGCGCGAAAGCCAGGGGAGCAAACGGG
rnacentral:rRNA from 1 species